GGAAGUCGGAACUCGCGCCGGUCCGGUUCCUGAAGGCGCAGAUUGAGAGCACGCUCGACGCCGUCUGCAAUUUCACUGCCGACGUGGUUAGCGGUGAGAUUAAGCCCCCUCCUACUUCUCCCGUGGAUCACUUUCUCUCUCGCUCAUCCCUUGUCUUGAGCUCAUAGAUAUCCCUUGUAUUAUUUGCUCUUGGAUUGAGAUGAAUCAGCUGUUAAAUUAUGGAGUUCGUAGAAGUUUUUCAGUCUCGAGCUUACAUGGCAAGCUGUAGCUCGAGGCUUUUGUCCCGAGUACUUAAGAACAGUCCUAACACUCAGAAAUAUGAUAAAGAAUAGAAUUCAGUAGCCUUGGAGGUCCCAGAGACUACGACUUCUGCCAGGAUCAAGCUAAAAUCUGAAAUUUCUUCGGAUUGGUAUUCAUCGAAGAAGAAAGGAAUUGAUGGGUAUUACUAUGAAGGCAUUAUUUGUGAUCUUGGAGGCAACUUGUUAUGUUGUGAUAGCUCCCCAGACCUUUCAUAUUGAGUGCCUUGAUCCUCCUCUCAAGGUAGUUCAUAGCUAUUUGAGGGGUCUUGCCUUGAGUUCGAUGUGUUAAUUGCUGUCAUUUGUCUUAUCGUACUUGAUUGAGAUAAUUUAGUUGUCUAAAA